GACGAACGCUGGCGGCGUGCUUAACACAUGCAAGUCGAACGGAAAGGCCCUGCUCUUGUGGGGUGCUCGUGUGGCGAACGGGUGAGUAACACGUGAGUAACCUGCCCUUGACUUUGGGAUAACUUCAGGAAACUGGGGCUAAUACCGGAUAGGAGCUCCUGCUGCAUGGGGGGGGUUGGAAAGUUUCGGCGGUUGGGGAUGGACUCGCGGCUUAUCAGCUUGUUGGUGGGGUAGUGACUUACCAAGGCUUUGACGGGUAGCCGGCCUGAGAGGGUGACCGGCCACCUUGGGACUGAGAUACGGCGCAGACUCCUACGGGACGCAGCAGUCGGGAAUAUUGCACAAUGGGCGGAAGCCUGAUGCAGCAACGCCGCGUGCGUGAUGACGUCCUUCGAGUUGUAAACCGCUUUCGCCUGUGACGAAGCGUGAGUGACGGUAAUGAGUAAAGAAGCACCGGCUAACUACGUG
rnacentral:rRNA from 1 species